rnacentral:rRNA from 1 species
GGGUUGUGAGGUUAAGCGAAUAAGCGUACACGGUGGAUGCCCUGGCAGUCAGAGGCGAUGAAGGGCGUGCUAAUCUGCGAUAAGCGCCGGUAAGGUGAUAUGAACCGUUAUAACCGGCGAUACCCGAAUGGGGAAACCCAGUGUGACUCGUCACACUAUCAUUAACUGAAUCCAUAGGUUAAUGAGGCGAACCGGGGGAACUGAAACAUCUAAGUACCCCGAGGAAAAGAAAUCAACCGAGAUUCCCCCAGUAGCGGCGAGCGAACGGGGAGGAGCCCAGAGCCUGAAUCAGCAUGUGUGUUAGUGGAAGCGUCUGGAAAGGCGCGCGAUACAGGGUGACAGCCCCGUACACAAAAGCGCAUGUGCUGUGAGCUCGAUGAGUAGGGCGGGACACGUGGUAUCCUGUCUGAAUAUGGGGGGACCAUCCUCCAAGGCUAAAUACUCCUGACUGACCGAUAGUGAACCAGUACCGUGAGGGAAAGGCGAAAAGAACCCCGGCGAGGGGAGUGAAAAAGAACCUGAAACCGUGUACGUACAAGCAGUGGGAGCCCCACCACUAAGCCAGUGGUGAACUCCACAUACGCAUCCUUUGCUGAGGAUACGGUUAACGGAGCGAAAGCGACGUUCAACCUCAAAAGAAGCAGAGGGGGCUUAGUGGUGGGGUGACUGCGUACCUUUUGUAUAAUGGGUCAGCGACUUAUAUUCUGUAGCAAGGUUAACCGAAUAGGGGAGCCGCAGGGAAACCGAGUCUUAAUUGGGCGUUAAGUUGCAGGGUAUAGACCCGAAACCCGGUGAUCUAGCCAUGGGCAGGUUGAAGGUUGGGUAACACUAACUGGAGGACCGAACCGACUAAUGUUGAAAAAUUAGCGGAUGACCUGUGGCUGGGGGUGAAAGGCCAAUCAAACCGGGAGAUAGCUGGUUCUCCCCGAAAGCUAUUUAGGUAGCGCCUCGUGAAUUCAUCUCCGG